UUUUGACUAAAAAGGGGGAGAAGUGUUGAUGUGGAAGUUGAUGUGGAAGCAGUUGUGGAGUUGUGAGAUGUAUGUAGAUGAACUGAAGGACAGCUAUUAUUGAAGGAAGUGCACAAGUGUUAAAACAAAAUUUUGUUCUGUUUACAGAUGUCAAAGGGGAUGUCUGAUAUGGUGCACAGGUGUUGAUGUUGAACCAGAUGUCAGAAUGACAUUCUGGCUGGUACAGGUGUUGUGA
rnacentral:lncRNA from 1 species